rnacentral:lncRNA from 1 species
GCAACUCGCAGACCUCGAGCUCGAGCCAAGGGGUAGAUUGGCCCCUGUUGAGGAAUUGGAAGUGGUCGAGCUCGAGCACGAUAAAGUUGUCACGAUUGGUCGGGAUCUCAAGGCCAACCUCUAGGAGGAAGUCAUCAGUUGUCUGUCCCGCAACAUUGAUGUUUUUGCAUGGAAGGUGGAGGAUAUGCCAGGGAUAGACCCAGAAGUAGCUGUCCAUAAACUUAAUAUCAGCCCAGGGGCCAAACCUGUUAAGCAAAGGAAGAGACAGUUUGCGCCGGAAAGACGUGUGAUCAUUCCAGAAGAAGUCGGCAAAUUGUUGGGAGCGGGGUUCAUAAGGGAAGUCCAAUACCCCGAUUGGCUCGCUAAUGUUGUUCUAGUGAAAAAGGCCAGUGGUAAAUGGAGG